GGGGUAGGGCUGAUUAUUUCAGCAUCUCUUGGCUGCCAUUUGUUUUGGCUUAGGGUUUUAGUGCUCUCACAUCUUCAUCCCUAGACUGCUCUAGUUUAGCCAGGGAUCCGCAGCGAUUUUGUACUUCGACUGUGUUCUUGUGAUCUGAAAGUUUAAUCUGAGGAAGGGUCGCCGGCAAAAUAACUAUGUGAAGAAUAUAUGACGAGGAGCAACAUUCAGAAAAAUAUUUUCAUGCAAUGAUGGAGGUGGAGAGUGGCACAAUGGUUAAUGAUCUUCAUGUAGCUUAUGAGACGAGGGAGCCUUAAGAUCAGUGGAUGCACACGCACUGGAGCAAACAGCAGCGGAUAACUUGGAUUAUUGGUAGCUCAUUACUGUUAACCUAACGCUUGCUGCUCCACAUGGUUCCCUCAACCUCAAGGACCAGACUCGCUUUGCUUCCUGAAAGUCCAAGAAGAGUCGGUACAACUGCUAUGGACAUUUGCAAUGUACUGCAUGUAUGUUCUCGUGAUUUUUGAGUCAUGUGCGAGAGAAUAAUCAAGUGCGGUUCAGGUAGAUGUAAAGUGCAAAGGCAAGUAGUGGUUGAAUGCUUUCCGUCGACGAAGAAUGAACUCUCAUGAUGCCAGAUACAAUGUGCACUGAAUACAACUAUCAUCCUGGACUCAAAUGUUGUUCAUUUUUUUUUUACCGACACGGUGGCACUUGUUACCCAUGCAUGUUCUCCGCAUAUACAUGCCGUUGCUAACUAAAGAGUCAUCUCUCUCUCCCUCAUGAAUAAACGAUAAGUUUGUAUUC